GGGCGCAAGCCUGAUGCAGCGACGCCGCGUGCGGGAUGGAGGCCUUCGGGUUGUAAACCGCUUUUGUUCAAGGGCAAGGCAGGCUUUCGGGCCUGUUGAGUGGAUUGUUCGAAUAAGCACCGGCUAACUACGUGCC
rnacentral:rRNA from 1 species